UACGUAGGGAGCAAGCGUUGUUCGGAUUUACUGGGCGUAAAGGGCGCGUAGGCGGCGCGGUAAGUCACUUGUGAAAUCUCUGAGCUUAACUCAGAACGGCCAAGUGAUACUGCAGUGCUAGAGUGCAGAAGGGGCAAUCGGAAUUCUUGGUGUAGCGGUGAAAUGCGUAGAUAUCAAGAGGAACACCUGAGGUGAAGACGGGUUGCUGGGCUGACACUGACGCUGAGGCGCGAAAGCCAUGGGAGCAAACGGG
rnacentral:rRNA from 1 species